rnacentral:rRNA from 1 species
AGCGAACGCUGGCGGCAGGCCUAACACAUGCAAGUCGAACGGACCCUUCGGGGUUAGUGGCGGACGGGUGAGUAACACGUGGGAACGUGCCUUUAGGUUCGGAAUAGCUCCUGGAAACGGGUGGUAAUGCCGAAUGUGCCCUUCGGGGGAAAGAUUUAUCGCCUUUAGAGCGGCCCGCGUCUGAUCAGCUAGUUGGUGAGGUAAUGGCUCACCAAGGCGACGAUCAGUAGCUGGUCUGAGAGGAUGACCAGCCACAUUGGGACUGAGACACGGCCCAAACUCCUACGGGAGGCAGCAGUGGGGAAUCUUUCGCAAUGGGCGAAAGCCUGACGCAGCCAUGCCGCGUGGAUGAUGAAGGUCUUAGGAUUGUAAAAUCCUUUCACCGGUGAAGAUAAUGACUGUAGCCGGAGAAGAAGCCCCGGCUAACUUCGUGCCAGCCGCCGCCGUAAUAC